rnacentral:rRNA from 1 species
UACGUAGGGUGCAAGCGUUAAUCGGAAUUACUGGGCGUAAAGCGUGUGCAGGCGGUGAUGUAAGACAGUUGUGAAAUCCCCGGGCUCAACCUGGGAACUGCAUCUGUGACUGCAUUGCUGGAGUGCGGCAGAGGGGGAUGGAAUUCCGCGUGUAGCAGUGAAAUGCGUAGAUAUGCGGAGGAACACCGAUGGCGAAGGCAAUCCCCUGGGCCUGCACUGACGCUCAUGCACGAAAGCGUGGGGAGCAAACAGG